CUACGGGUUGCAGCAGUGGGGAAUCUUGCACAAUGGAGGAAACUCUGAUGCAGCGAUGCCGCGUGAGUGAAGAAGGCCCUUGGGUUGUAAAGCUCUUUUGUCGGGAAAGAUAAUGACUGUACCCGAAGAAUAAGGUCCGGCUAACUUCGUGCCAGCAGCCGCGGUAAUACGAAGGGACCUAGCGUAAUUCGGAAUUACUGGGCGUAAAGCGCGCGUAGGCGGUUAAGUAAGUUAAUUGUGAAAGCCCAAAGCUCAACUUUGGAAUUGCAAUUAAAACUACUUAGCUAGAGUUUAUCAGAGGAAAGCGGAAUAAAUAGUGUAGAGGUGAAAUUCGUAGAUAUUAUGUAGAACACCAGUUGCGAAGGCGGCUUUCUGGGAUAACACCGACGCUGAGGUGCGAAAGUAUGGGUAGCGAAGAGGAUUAGAUACCCUGGUAGUC
rnacentral:rRNA from 1 species